UGGGAUACCACUUGGAAACAGGUGCUAAUACCGGAUAACAACAAUAGCUGCAUGGCUAUUGCUUAAAAGGCGGCGAAAGCUGUCGCUAAAGGAUGGACCCGCGGUGCAUUAGCUAGUUGGUAAGGUAAUGGCUUACCAAGGCGACGAUGCAUAGCCGAGUUGAGAGACUGAUCGGCCACAUUGGGACUGAGACACGGCCCAAACUCCUACGGGAGGCAGCAGUAGGGAAUCUUCCACAAUGGGCGAAAGCCUGAUGGAGCAACGCCGCGUGAGUGAAGAAGGUUUUCGGAUCGUAAAGCUCCGUUGUUGGUGAAGAAGGAUAGAGGUAGUAACUGGCCCCUAUUUGACGGUAAUCAACCAGAAAGUCACGGCUAACUACGUGCCAGCAGCCGCGGUAAUACGUAGGUGGCAAGCGUUGUCCGGAUUUAUUGGGCGUAAAGCGAGCGCAGGCGGAAAGAUAAGUCUGAUGUGAAAGCCCCCGGCUUAACCGAGGAAUUGCAUCGGAAACUGUGUCUCUUGAGUGCAGAAGAGGAGAGUGGAACUCCAUGUGUAGCGGUGGAAUGCGUAGAUAUAUGGAAGAACACCAGUGGCGAAGGCGGCUCUCUGGUCUGUAACUGACGCUGAGGCUCGAAAGCAUGGGUAGCGAACAGGAUUAGAUACCCUGGUAGUCCAUGCCGUAAACGAUGAG
rnacentral:rRNA from 1 species